rnacentral:piRNA from 1 species
UAGAUAAAGAACUAUGCAGAGUCCUGGG